rnacentral:rRNA from 1 species
AUUGAACGCUGGCGGCAGGCCUAACACAUGCAAGUCGAGCGAGCGGCGGACGGGGGAGUAAUGUAUGGGGACUGCCCGAUAGAGGGGGAUAACUAAUGGAAACGGUGGCUAAUACCGCAUACUGUAGGAUAACCCAUCUGGGAGUGUCUAGUAGGUAAGGUAAUGGCUUGCCUAGGAGAAGAUCCCUAGCUGGUCUGGGAGGAUGCUCAGCCACACUGGAGCUGAGACACGGCCCAGACUCCUACGGAGGCAGCAUUGGGGAAUAUUGCACAAUGGGCGCAAGCCUGAUGCAGCCAUGCCGGGUGUAUGAAGAAGGCCCUAGGGUUGUAAAGUACUUUCAGUCGGGAGGCGUUACCGACAGAAGAAGCACCGGCUAACUCCGUGCCAGCAGCCGCGGUAAUAC